UGGGGAAUAUUGCACAAUGGGCGCAAGCCUGAUGCAGCCAUGCCGCGUGUAUGAAGAAGGCCUUCGGGUUGUAAAGUACUUUCAGCGGGGAGGAAGGGAGUAAAGUUAAUACCUUUGCUCAUUGACGUUACCAGCAGAAGAAGCACCGGCUAACUCAGUGCCAGCAGCCGCGGUAAUACGGAGGGUGCAAGCGUUAAUCGGAAUUACUGGGCGUAAAGCGCACGCAGGCGGUUUGUUAAGUCAGAUGUGAAAUCCCCGGGCUCAACCUGGGAACUGCAUCUGAUACUGGCAAGCUUGAGUCUCGUAGAGGGGGGUAGAAUUCCAGGUGUAGCGGUGAAAUGCGUAGAGAUCUGGAGGAAUACCGGUGGCGAAGGCGGCCCCCUGGACGAAGACUGACGCUCAGGUGCGAAAGCGUGGGGAGCAAACAGG
rnacentral:rRNA from 1 species